UUUAGUGGGGGAUAACAUUUGGAAACAGAUGCUAAUACCGCGUAACAACAAAUCACACAUGUGAUCUGUUUGAAAGGUCCUUUUGGAUCGCUAGAGGAUGGUCUUGCGGCGUAUUAGCUUGUUGGUAGGGUAGAAGCCUACCAAGGCAAUGAUGCGUAGCCGAGUUGAGAGACUGGCCGGCCACAUUGGGACUGAGACACUGCCCAAACUCCUACGGGAGGCUGCAGUAGGGAAUUUUCCGCAAUGCACGAAAGUGUGACGGAGCGACGCCGCGUGUGUGAUGAAGGCUUUCGGGUCGUAAAGCACUGUUGUAAGGGAAGAAUAACUGAAUUCAGAGAAAGUUUUCAGCUUGACGGUACCUUACCAGAAAGGGAUGGCUAAAUACGUGCCAGCAGCCGCGGUAAUACGUAUGUCCCGAGCGUUAUCCGGAUUUAUUGGGCGUAAAGCGAGCGCAGACGGUUUAUUAAGUCUGAUGUGAAAUCCCGAGGCCCAACCUCGGAACUGCAUUGGAAACUGAUUUACUUGAGUGCGAUAGAGGCAAGUGGAACUCCAUGUGUAGCGGUGAAAUGCGUAGAUAUGUGGAAGAACACCAGUGGCGAAAGCGGCUUGCUAGAUCGUAACUGACGUUGAGGCUCGAAAGUAUGGGUAGCAAACGGGAUUAGAUACCCCGGUAGUCCAUACCGUAAACGAUGGGUGCUAGUUGUUAAGAGGUUUCCGCCUCCUAGUGACGUAGCAAACGCAUUAAGCACCCCGCCUGAGGAGUACGGCCGCAAGGCUAAAACUUAAAGGAAUUGACGGGGACCCGCACAAGCGGUGGAGCAUGUGGUUUAAUUCGAAGAUACGCGAAAAACCUUACCAGGUCUUGACAUACCAAUGAUCGCUUUUGUAAUGAAAGCUUUUCUUCGGAACAUUGGAUACAGGUGGUGCAUGGUCGUCGUCAGCUCGUGUCGUGAGAUGUUGGGUUAAGUCCCGCAACGAGCGCAACCCUUGUUAUUAGUUGCCAGCAUUUAGUUGGGCACUCUAAUGAGACUGCCGGUGAUAAACCGGAGGAAGGUGGGGACGACGUCAGAUCAUCAUGCCCCUUAUGACCUGGGCAACACACGUGCUACAAUGGGAAGUACAACGAGUCGCAAACCGGCGACGGUAAGCUAAUCUCUUAAAACUUCUCUCAGUUCGGACUGGAGUCUGCAACUCGACUCCACGAAGGCGGAAUCGCUAGUAAUCGCGAAUCAGCAUGUCGCGGUGAAUACGRRCCCGGGG
rnacentral:rRNA from 1 species